UCCGGUAGACUGCUUACCCCGCACCUGCGGCUGCGAUGACUUCCGCACUGACCCAACGGCUUGAGCGAAUCCCAGACCAGCUUGGCUACCUGGUGUUGAGCGAAGGUGCAGUGCUGGCAUCAUCUGGGGACCUUGAGAAUGAUGAGCAGGCAGCCAGUGCCAUCUCAGAGGUGGUCAGCACAGCCUGUGGCUUCCGGCUGCACCAUGGCACGGACAUCUCUUUCAAACGCCUAUCUGUGGUCUUUAGUGAACACAUGCUGCUGGUGACUGUGUCAGGACAGAGGGUGUUUGUGGUGAAGAGGCAGAACCGAGGUCGGGAACCUGUUGAUGUCUGAGCUAUAAAAAGCACUGGCUGGAAAAGAGGCCUGCCUCUGGGGCCUGUGGCGGGGGCACACCAUCUUUUACUGUUCUUGCUGGAGCUGGGCUUGUACUCACUACCUCCUUCCUGACCCCACCCGAGGCACAAGGCUUAGUGACUUCUACACUAAGGGACAAGGGAAACUAUGACUAGAGGGAUCCCCUUUCUUCCCUUCUGUGUAAUAAACCUAGUCCAACCCU